rnacentral:rRNA from 1 species
ACGCUCGACACCUACGUGAGGCAGCAGUGGGGAAUAUUGCACAAUGGGGGAAACCCUGAUGCAGCGACGCCGCGUGGAGGAAGAAGGUCUUCGGAUUGUAAACUCCUGUUGUUGGGGAAAAAGAGGAUGGUACCCAACAAGGAAGUGACGGCUAACUACGUGCCACAGCCGCGGUAAUCUGAGCGGGCGUGGCGAAGGC